rnacentral:rRNA from 1 species
GACGAACGCUGGCGGCGUGCUUAACACAUGCAAGUCGAACGGAAAGGCCUCUUUCGGGGGGUACUCGAGUGGCGAACGGGUGAGUAACACGUGAGUAACCUGCCCUUGACUUUGGGAUAACUUCAGGAAACUGGGGCUAAUACCGGAUAGGAGCUCCUGCUGCAUGGUGGGGGUUGGAAAGUUUCGGCGGUUGGGGAUGGACUCGCGGCUUAUCAGCUUGUUGGUGGGGUAGUGGCUUACCAAGGCUUUGACGGGUAGCCGGCCUGAGAGGGUGACCGGCGUCAUUGGGACUGAGAUACGGCCCAGACUCCGACGGGAGGCAGCAGUGGGGAAUAUUGCACAAUGGGUGGAAGCCUGAUGCAGCAACGCCGUGUGCGGGAUGACGGCCUUCGGGUUGUAGACCGCUUUCGCUCAUGACGAAGCUUUGUGUGACGGUAGUGGGUAAAGAAGCACCGGCUAACUACGUG